CUCUUGCACGCACUGACAUACAAGUUCAAGUGCUUAUGUGGAUGAUCUUUGCGAACCUACUGGGUGCAAGAGAUGUAUGCAAGCAUAUAUCUGCCGGAGCCAACUCUGGCGCUAGGGUAGACCCGACUGGACCACUGCCUGGUCUCCGGUAGGCGGGAAAGCCGCUUUCAUAAAUAGAAGUGUACGCAACUCACGUACACACCUACACAAAUAGGAGCAGCUUGGAGCCAGCAAGCAUGUGGCCAGAGAUGUAGCUGGAGGUGGGCAGCGACCAGCCAUGACAGUUAUGGUGGGCUAAGCACUUUUACUGUAUUCUAAAAGCAACAGAGAGCCAUCAGUUUGAAGGUGUGGCUUCAUAUCCUUCCUGAAGGAGCAGACAGCACCUUCUCUAACAGCUCUCAAAGACUUCUAGAAGCACUUGUACUUCAUAAAGCCUCCUCAGCAAGAAUGGCACUCUUUAAAGCAUACGAUAGACACCAGAGCCUGCUAAAAAUACGCCUGAGCCUCCACGACAUACCAAACCAUAAACUACUUGUGUUGGAAGGAACUUCCUCUUAUUAUUAUUAUUAUUAUUAUUUUUUAAAUAAUCUCUAUACCCAGCCUGGGGCUCAAACCUACAAACCUCAGCUCAAGAGUCACAUGCUGCAUACACUGAGCCAGUCAGGCAUCCCUAUCUUGGAAGGAACUUUCAAACUUCAUUGCAAGUCAGUCACUGCCUUUGCUCCUCAGCUCAGUUUGGUGCAGCUUGGUAAUGUGUGGUAGACGGAACUGGGUUCAAAUCCCUGUCCUGCCACUUGCCAGCUGCUAGGACCUUGAACAAGCAAGUGCAGUGAGAAUCGAAAACAAUUAUACGCACCAAGCACUCCUCUGGAAGUGUUUUAGUCUGGGAGAGCAACCCCAACAGAUCACAACAGGAGGCUUCAACCACAGAAAUUUAUUCUCUCACAGUUCUGGAAGCUGGAAGUCUGACAUCAAGGGAUCAACAGGGAGAACUCUCUCCUUGGUUGGCACCUUCUCCCCAUGGCUCCACAUUCUUCCCUCUGUCUCUGUAAACAUGCCUGCCAAAUUUCCUCUUCUUUUAAAUUAAAAAAAAUUUGUAAUGUGUA